rnacentral:rRNA from 1 species
AUUGAACGCUGGCGGCGUGCUUAACACAUGCAAGUCGAUCGGUAACGCGGGGGCAACCCUGGCGACGAGAGGCGGACGGGUGAGGAACGCUUGGGAAUCUGCCUAUCAGCGGGGGACAACACGGGGAAACUCGUGCUAAUACCGCAUACGCCCUACGGAGGAAAGCCGGGGACCGCAAGGCCUGGCACUGAUAGAUGAGCCCAAGCCGGAUUAGCUAGUUGGCGGGGUAACGGCCCACCAAGGCGACGAUCCGUAGCUGGUCUGAGAGGACGAUCAGCCACACUGGGACUGAGACACAGCCCAGACUCCUACGGGAGGCAGCAGUGGGGAAUAUUGGACAAUGGGGGAAACCCUGAUCCAGCGACGCCGCGUGGGUGAAGAAGGCCUGCGGGUUGUAAAGCUCUUUCGGCCGGGAAGAAAUCGCACGGGCUAAUACCCUGUGUGGAUGACGGUACCGGAAUAAGAAGCACCGGCUAACUACGUGCCAGCCGCCGCGGUAACAC